GCGGUUUUGUUGGUUUUAUUGCCGCAUUUUUUCACUUUUUUUUCUUUUAAUGCAUGUCAUUUUUGUCUCUUGAAUCAUUUCCAUCACUGUCAACAUCUUUUUAUUUCUCUUUUCUUUUCUGCUACUCUGGUUUUAUAAAUAUUCAAAAACAAACUCAACCAGA